rnacentral:rRNA from 1 species
CCUACGGGUGGCUGCAGUGGGGAAUAUUGGACAAUGGGGGGAACCCUGAUCCAGCCAUGCCGCGUGUGUGAAGAAGGCCCUCGGGUUGUAAAGCACUUUCAGUGAGGAAGAACGCCUGGUGGUUAAUACCCAUCAGGAAAGACAUCACUCACAGAAGAAGCACCGGCUAACUCCGUGCCAGCAGCCGCGGUAAUACGGAGGGUGCGAGCGUUAAUCGGAAUUACUGGGCGUAAAGCGCGCGUAGGUGGCUUGAUAAGCCGGUUGUGAAAGCCCCGGGCUCAACCUGGGAACGGCAUCCGGAACUGUCAAGCUAGAGUGCAGGAGAGGAAGGUAGAAUUCCCGGUGGAGCGGUGAAAUGCGUAGAGAUCGGGAGGAAUACCAGUGGCGAAGGCGGCCUUCUGGACUGACACUGACACUGAGGUGCGAAAGCGUGGGUAGCAAACAGGAUUAGAUACCCUGGUAGUC